rnacentral:misc_RNA from 1 species
UCAAACUUGGUCAUUUAGAGGAAGUAAAAGUCGUAACAAGGUCUCCGUUGGUGAACCAGCGGAGGGAUCAUUGAAGUGGAGGCGCCCGCGGCCCCCCGUAACCCCCGCGAACCGUACCGCAGUCUCGUCAGUCCGUGGUGCCUUCGGCGUCUCGAAGCAUGAAAAUAGUCAAAACUCUCAGCGACGGAUCUCUUGGCUCCGUCAGAUGUGUAUAAGAGACAGUCAAACUUGGUCAUUUAGAGGAAGUAAAAGUCGUAACAAGGUCUCCGUUGGUGAACCAGCGGAGGGAUCAUUGAAGUGGAGGCGCCCGCGGCCCCCCGUAACCCCCGCGAACCGUACCGCAGUCUCGUCAGUCCGUGGUGCCUUCGGCGUCUCGAAGCAUGAAAAUAGUCAAAACUCUCAGCGACGGAUCUCUUGGCUCCGGCAUCGAUGAAGAACGCAGC